GAGCGCAACCCUCGUCCCUAUGUUGCCAGCGGGUCAUGCCGGGGACUCAUGGGAGACUGCCGGGGUCAACGUCGGAGGAAGGUGGGGAUGACGUCAAAUCAUCAUGCCCCGUUAUGUCUUGGGCUUCACGCAUGCUACAAUGGCCGGUACAAAGGGCUGCGAUACCGCGAGGUGGAGCGAAUCCCAGAAAGCCGGUCUCAGUUCGGAUUGGGGUCUGCAACUCGACCCCAUGAAGUCGGAGUCGCUAGUAAUCGCGGAUCAGCACGCCGCGGUGAAUACGUUCCCGGGCCUU
rnacentral:rRNA from 1 species